rnacentral:tRNA from 1 species
GCUGCAGAUUUUGGACGAGACUUCUCGGGACGUUCAGGUGCUGGUCGUGAGUCCGACGCGGGAACUU